rnacentral:lncRNA from 1 species
UUUUGUAUUUAGUUUAUUAUUGUAUUGAAGUAUAAAAAAUUUUGAAAUUACACAAAAAAUUGAAAAAAAAUUCGAAAAAAAAGAAAUUUGAAAAAAAGAAGUGAAGUUUAGAAAGUCUUGCAAGUUCUUAAUUAUUAUUAUUUUUUUCAUUCUCUUCUAAUAAUCCUGAUCAUCCAUUCAUUCUACCAUCUCUUCUACCACCCCAAAAUACCACAUAUAUCUUGAUUUUAAUUUUUCUUUGUCCAGCCUUCCCUGCCC